rnacentral:tRNA from 1 species
GCCCGGGUGGUGAAAUAGGUAGACACAAGGGAUUUAAAAUCCCUCGCUGGCAACAGCGUGCCGGUUCAAGUCCGGCUCCGGGCACCA